rnacentral:lncRNA from 1 species
CACAAAAAAUUUUAAGCAAAUAAUAAUAACAUGGUCAAAUUACCUUCCCCAUGACCAAAAACCAUAUCCCAAGAAACUUCCCAAAAAAUACAAAAGAGCACCCAUCUUUCCUGCACCAAAGCAGCAAAAAUUCAGGCAUGCAGAAUGCAGGCAUACAAAAUGAAUAAUGCAUGUGCAAGAAAGAAGAAACAAGAACAAGUGGCUAAUAUAAACUCCAAAUUAUAUAUUUACAUAAAUUAGUACUAUUGAUGUCUCUUUUCCUCUAGCUUUAUUGUUUGGACUCUCCAAAAAUAUUAUCAUGCACUUGUUUGAUUUCCCAAAAGUAGUAUACAUGUUUAGAGAAUCCGUCGUAGACGUGACAACUUUAAAGAGUCUACACACAGGGCAAAGCUAGGUAGGCAAAAGGGUGUUCAGCCUUCAUCAAAAAUUACUGGUAGGCAAAAGGGUGUUCAGCCUUCAUCAAAAAUUACUGGUAGGCAAAAGGGUGUUCAGCCUUCAUUAAAAAUUAUAUUGUGUAUAUAAGAUUAAUUUUAUAUUUUAUGUAUGUAUACAACAUAAACUCUGGCUUGUGUGGCAUCUUUUCAUGGACAAAAGAGGUUCAAACAGUACUAAGAUAGGCAAAUCAAACAUAAGAGAUUAUGUUUGAUCCAAUAUACUAAAUUCUUUUCAUCUUCCACCAUAAAUAAACAAAAGGUGUUAUAGGUGUCUAAUCAUAACUUUUCAACCCUAUCUUUUUGUCCACAUGCAAAAUUACACUUACCUAUUAAACAAACACAAUACAAACCUUCUUGACUUGGUUAAUUAGCUGGUAGCUGUCUCCAAUUAAUAAUUUAAUUGCAUGUUGAUCCCAUAUGUUUAACUUUAAACCAACAGUGUCUGAAUAAUUGAAGAGCUUGACCCUCUAAAAGUAAAGCAAACAAAUACCAAUAAACUAACGUAAAAUUUUAAGCACUAACCUAGAAUCUUACAGCAAAUAAAGGAAGAUUACAACUUUUUCUUUUCUUUACUUUUUAGGAUAACAACUUUAAUAAUGAGAAUUAUUGGAACAUAAUAAGAAAUUACAAAACUCUCCAGAAAAUAUCACUGCUGGCUUGUUCAUUGCUUUGAAUGUAUUCAUUAUCAACUUCUGUAAUUCCAGCUAUGUUAAAACUAGAUCCUGCAAAAUAAUAAAUAAAUAAAUCCAAAUUUUUGUGUUACUUUAAUGUUAAUUAUAAUUCAGUACAGAUGUGUCCGACCUGGCUAAAAAAAUGGACCAAGCAACUUAAAUUAAACAAAAACAAUAGUAUAUAAAAUAUUUAUUAAAAUGUUCUUUAUUCCAUCCAAAGAACAGGCAACAACUGUUGGUCUGAUAUAAAGGAUGUCAGCCUUAACAAGACAAAACAAUAUAGUAUAUGUUCCUUGCUACAUAGUUGUCUUUGCCAUUGUAAGGAAAAAAAAGGACCAUAAUAUUUCUUUUCUUUUAGCAAUUUUAAUUCUUCUGCAAGAUUUUGACUUCGCUUGUUUCUUUCCCUAGGUGAAAAAUCAAAAAAGAAGAGUGUACAUUUGCUUGGUUAAAUUUGCUAGCCUAGUCCAGUCUGGUCUGACAUCCAUGAAUGCACACACUAUUUCUUUUUUCACUUUGGCCGGACUAAUUCAGAUUCAGAUUGGACUAUUAUUUACUUGACUCACCUAAUUCAGAUUCAUAUUGAGUAACCUACUCAGAGGCGGAGCUAGCCCAUCGACUAAGAGUUCGGCCGAACCCAAUUGUUUAUGUCCAAACCAUAUAUUUGUCUUACGAUAAAUGAAUAUGUAUAAAUUACUAUUAUUUUAGAACCCAAUAAUAAUAAUUUAAUUAAAAGGACAAAAACUCUUUUAACUCUUUAAGCUCUAAAUCUUGGCUCCACCUUUGGACCUACUAAUAGUAAGUCCACUAAUGGAGUAAAGUACUCUCCCACUUGAAAGUUUUUCUACUCUCAGGGUUCGAAGACAGUUUUAAUUAAGGGCGGAGAGAUAUCAACCAUCUCACUACACUCUUCGAUCAGGUGGUUGCAUAAACAAUUUCCCUACAUUAUGCUUUACUUAGUCCAUAUAAAUGGCCUCUAAUGUGGGCAUAAAACAUAGUUGGCUAGCAAGAUUCCAAAUGAGAGGGCAAUGCCUUGUGGUCCAAAUAAACAUUCAAUAGUAGCACAUUCUUGAUCACAUAAUUCACAAGCUAUGAGGUGAAAUGGUGGUCAUGCAUUUCCCUUUAUCUUAGCCUAUAAAAGAAAAGAGGUGGAAAAUAAAUAAGCUCAAGAAGAGUACUAAAAAUUAGAUCACAUUAGAAAGUUAGAUACUAUAUAGUAGUAUAUACUAGUAUAUAUAUAGUGCCCAAGCAAGCAAGAAACCAUGAAUUUAAUGUAGGAAUAAGACUAUUGACUAAGAAAUAGGAUUUUGUAUGUAAAACUAUUGCCAAUUAAAUUGAAAGGUAUAGAAAUUGCUUUCCACAACAUAGUGAUUCUAAAUGUCAUGUGUAUAACCCCAUGUAUUCUCUUUUUAUUUAUCUAAGUCCUAUACCCCAUUUUGGAUCUUGCUUUUCAAGAACAAUAAGCCAGAGAUCCUGUGAUGGGUGCGAACAACAACAACAAUAGCAUUUAAGUAUAAUCUCACAAGCGAAAUCUGGUGAGGAUAGUAUAUUUGCAAUUUUACCCUGCCCUUGUGUUGGCAGAGAGGCUAUUUCCGACGAACCCUAAUCUCAAAGCAAGCCUCAAGGCUCAAGGCUUAAAAAAGAUAAUAUUCAGGAUUAGAAUUAACAUGUGCAAGAACUCAAGGCUCCAAUUACAAUUUAAAAAGCGAAUUAAAGCUGUGCUUUAUAUAGAAUAAUUUAUAGCAAUUUAUAGUCAUAAACUCAUACAAUAAGAUCUUAAUCCAAGAAUUGUAUCACAUAAGUACUAAAAACUGAGAAGGAAAUGAAGAUAAAUAUCAAGGACAUCCAAAUUUUGAUCACCAAAAACCAAAUUUGUUGUAAAUCAGUAAAUCCCAAACAUAUAUUGCCACAGAAAAAUUAUCUGUAUAGAUCAAACCCAUCCAGACACACAACACAUAGAAAUAAAAUCAGAGAAAUAUCCCCUGAAAAAGAACCUUAAACAGUAGAUCAUUAUGAACACCUUUUAAUUUCCUGCAAAACAAUAAUAAUCACAAUAAUAACUUGUCAGUAAUAACAGUAAAAAAAAUUCUUUCUAUAUAUAGAAAGUUCACCAAAAAACAAACAUGGAUCUAACCAUGCAUCAAUAUAAAGAAAAUCAAAAUCUGUAACUGAAAAUUCAGGAAUUGUAAUUUCUUGACACUAUCUGUAUCUUCCCACAACUUUAUUGAACCGCAACAAUUUUUUUUUUUAUUUUCACCUCCAAUAAUGAUAAUUGGUUAUAUAUGGUGUGAAUUUUCUAAUAUAUAUGCAGUUCAAGAAAGCUGUGGA